UUUAAAAGUGCUAGUAGCCCAGUGGUAAAAUACCUUCCCAUUUGACCAACCAAUCUGGGUUCGAAUUCAGGGGUUUACAUAUUUUUAAUUUCAAAUCAGCGAAAACAUUGUUAAUUAAUUCUAAAUUCAAUGAAAGUUUGGUGUUUUUUUGGCCAGCCCCAAAGUUCAUGUUUGUUUUGGCAAUUCGUGUAAAGUUGAGGUUUUUUUUGGCCGAAUUCUCGUUUUAAUUGUCAUAAUUCUCAGAGAAAAAAAUACAAAGGGUUUUGAGAUUUCAUAGUUAAGUUAAUUGGUUGCUUUGAGCAACAUGU
rnacentral:lncRNA from 1 species